rnacentral:rRNA from 1 species
GACGAACGCUGGCGGCGUGCUUAACACAUGCAAGUCGAACGAAGUGGCGAACGGGUGAGUAACGAGUAAUCAACCUGCCCUUCAGAGGGGGACAACAGUUGGAAACGACUGCUAAUACCGCAUACUGAAGGAGGGGAUUGCGUCUGAUUAGCUAGUGGGAGGUGUAAAGGCACACCAAGGCGAUGAUCAGGAGCACGUCUGAUAGGAGGAAAGUCAACAUUGGGACUGAUACACGUCCCAGACUCCUACGGUAUGCAGCAGUGGGGAAUCUUCCGCAAUUGACGAAAGUCUGACGGAGCAACGCCGCGUGAGUGAUGACGGCCUUCGGGUUUUAAAGCUCUGUUAAUCGGGACGCAGUACCGGAAUAGAAAGCCACGGCUAACUACGUGCCAGCCGCCGCGGUAAUAC